rnacentral:rRNA from 1 species
GAUGAACGCUGGCGGCGUGCCUAAUACAUGCAAGUCGAGCGAACAGACGAGGAGCUUGCUCCUCUGACGUUAGCGGCGGACGGGUGAGUAACACGUGGAUAACCUACCUAUAAGACUGGGAUAACUUCGGGAAACCUGAGCUCAUACCGGAUCAUAUAUUGAACCGCAUGGUUCAAUAGUGCAAGCCGGUUUUGCUGUCACUUAUAGAUGGAUCCGCGCCGCAUUAGCUAGUUGGUAAGGUAACGGCUUACCAAGGCAACGAUGCGUAGCCGACCUGAGAGGGUGAUCGGCCACACUGGAACUGAGACACGGUCCAGACUCCUACGGGAGGCAGCAGUAGGGAAUCUUCCGCAAUGGGCGAAAGCCUGACGGAGCAACGCCGCGUGAGUGAUGAAGGUCUUCGGAUCGUAAAACUCUGUUAGUAGGGAAGAACAAAUGUGUAAGUAACUAUGCACGUCUUGACGGUACCUAAUCAGAAAGCCACGGCUAACUACGUG